UCUGACAUGAAGGAGAAGAAUAUAGACUGAAGGAGGAAAUCGUCACCAAGGAGAAGCCAGAGCCUCCUCUGAGCCUGCAGAGGAGAGAAGUGGGAAACUGAGCAGCGGCCUCCAGGACGGGCAGAAUGCCAUCCAAACUAAAGGGGUGCGGAAGCCAAAAAUGUCUGACCAAUGCCACAGCGUGGAGUUCUUGGCUGCCGCACUCCGCACAGACCACCCUCCCCAGAAAGGACACCAGGGCCUCGCUGAGUCAGGAGCCAUGGGACUAAAGGGUUUGAGGUCACCAGGGAUCUCCACAAAAGAAACAUAUGCUCUUUUAAAACUCUCAGGUAUCAGAUGUCAAAAUAACCAUCUUGUUUCCUGCAUCUUGUUGUUGUUUGCAAGUUUAUUAACUGUCUCUUCCUUUAGCCUGCCUCCAUUCUAUGUAUCCCCAGCACCUAGCACAGUGAAUGGAUGAAUAAAUUGAUUCAGAUAUAA